rnacentral:misc_RNA from 1 species
CAGAGUUGCAAGACUCCCUAAACCAUUGUGAACCUACCCUCUACCGUUGCUUCGGCGGGCGGGCCCAGCGCCCCCCCGGCCCCCCGCGGGCGCCCGCCGGAGGAUACCCAAACUCUUGACAUUAGUGGCCUCUCUGAGUAUUCUUUACUGAAUAAGUCA